rnacentral:rRNA from 1 species
GAGCGCCCCGCAAGGGGAGCGGCAGACGGGUAGUAGUAACACGUGGGAACGUACCCUUCGGUUCGGAACAACCCAGGGAAACUUGGGCUAAUACCGGAUACGUCCGUAAGGAGAAAGAUUCAUCGCCGAGGGAUCGGCCCGCGUCUGAUUAGCUAGUUGGUGAGGUAAUGGCUCACCAAGGCGACGAUCAGUAGCUGGUCUGAGAGGAUGAUCAGCCUCACUGGGACUGAGACACGGCCCAGACUCCUACGGGAGGCAGCAGUGGGGAAUAUUGGACAAUGGGCGCAAGCCUGAUCCAGCCAUGCCGCGUGGGUGAUGAAGGCCCUAGGGUUGUAAAGCCCUUUCGGCGGGGAAGAUAAUGACGGUACCCGCAGAAGAAGCCCCGGCUAACUUCGUG